AUUGAACGCUGGCGGAAUGCUUUACACAUGCAAGUCGAACGGUAGAGGGGGCAACCCCUCGAGAGUGGCGAACGGGUGAGUAAUAUAUCGGACCGUGCCCAGUCGUGGGGGAUAACGUAGCGAAAGUUACGCUAAUACCGCAUACGAUCUACGGAUGAAAGCGGGGGAUCGCAAGACCUCGCGCGAUUGGAGCGGCCGAUAUCAGAUUAGGUAGUUGGUGGGGUAAAGGCUCACCAAGCCAACGAUCUGUAGCUGGUCUGAGAGGAAGACCAGGCACACGGGAACUGUGACACGGUUCAGACUCCUACGGGAGGCAGCAGUGGGGAAUUUUGGACAAUGGGCGGAAGGCUGAUACAGCCAUUCCGCGUGCAGGAUGAAGGCCCUCGGGUUGCAAACUGCUUUUGUACGGAACGAAAGGGUUUCCAUUAAUACUGGGAGCUCAUGACGGUACCGUAAGAAUAAGCACCGGCUAACUACGUGCCAGCCGCCGCCGUAA
rnacentral:rRNA from 1 species